GUAUACAUACUGUCCAAUUCUGCGUUAUUAUUAAUAGUACCAAUAUUGCUGGAUGCUCGAACAUAAGAUGCAGCAGGCAUUGACGGACGGAAUUAUUUCUAAAUGCAUUCCUUUGCUUGCUAUAUGUAUUUGCAUAUCUUGAGAAUUACAUGGAUAUCCUGGUAUGGGUCUAAGAUCAAUACAUUUUUUUCCCAAGAUAACAGGGUAUUCAUCUUUGAAACCAAUAUAUUCAAUACAAAAAACAGAUCCAUCUUUCAAGUAGCAGCAAUUAUUUGCGGAUUUUGUCGUUAGCAUACAAUUUUUAAAUUUGAUCUGCUUGUGCGAAUUUACACAUCCUAAAGAUAAUUUUCAAAUGGGAACGCAUCAAGCGUAUCAAGCGAGCCAUAUCUUUUUACAUCUUCACUGAGAUGUAUUAAAUUAUGUAUAUUAUAAACUAAAUUAUCAUUGCCAUAUAAUAUUUUAAACAUUUUGACAAAAUAAAGCAGUAAUUGAUUUGCGUAUAAAUUAUUACGAAAACAAUCUUCUGGGUGGCAUAAAAUCCGUAUAGCAGUAUGUAAAACGCAAAAAUGUUGGAAAUAAUCCGCAUUCAGAUAUUUGUCUAAAAUAAUAGGUCCUAAAUAUAAAAGAAAUAUUCUAUAUUCUGUGGCUUUCCAACGGUCUAAUUCAUUAAUACCCCGUGGGCGACGUGCAAAUUCAAUGGCCAAGUUUUCAAAAGGCGAAAUGCAAAUGUGAUGUUCUUCAUUUUCUCGAGUGCGGAAAUUGCUGUCCGUCCUCAACGAGGCAUUUUCAUCCAAGAAAACCAUUUUGUGAUUAAUAUAAUCACCCUCGCAAAAACAUUUGCCACAGCCAAAAUAUGCAUUAUGCCCUUUUGAGCCAGUUACAAAGGAUUUGGCAGGAGUAUCACAAAUAAUUGCUCUGAUUGUUACACGGUUUUUUAUAACCGUGAAAAGCAGCAAUCAAAAAGGGUUCCGUGACAUGAAUAUUAUAAAUUUGACCAAGUAUAGGCCAUAACUGGCUUUGGGAACUUUUAGUAAGAGACCAUAAUAAAAGUAAUGGCCAGCUCCACACUCUCGAAUAAUUGUAUUUUUGGGUGUUCCUAACAAGGUUCGAGCAUCACUGGGCAAAUCAUUGUGACCUUCUUUCUGUAGAAUACACAAUAAAGCUGUCAGAGAUUUUUGAGUAAUAUUAUAUUUAAUAGCCCAGGAAACAGUUGUAUUGUACUGCAAUUUUGAUUUUCGAGAGAGCAUUCUAUGUAAGAAGAAGCUUGCUUGUUAGUAACAAGCCUUUCUGGAAGGCUAAUGGAAAUAUUGUCAUUUUGUGCAGCUAGUAAUAAACGGCGAUUUUGUUGUCUGCGUGACAACUCUUUAAAUUUUUUAAUUUUUGGCAUUGUGCUAUUUUAUUCUGCGUACAAACCUGUUAUCAUUAAAUUUACAGGGUAUCCCACCAAAAGUGGCCAACUCCUUUUAUCUUUUAAACUAAAAGAGAUAGACCAUAUACAAAUAUAAUAACAAAUAUAUAUAACAAAUUGUAUAUCAUAACAUAUAUAUACCAUAACAAAUAUAUGUAUAUCAAAUUGAAUGUUUCAAACUGAAAUCUGUUGUGAGUAUAGUAUAUUACUUAUAAAAGCUAUAUCUGUGUUAACAAACGGAGAGAUAUGCAUAAUUUUUUUAUAACGAUGUGGAUAUUUCGAGACAAUAAAAGAUGUAGCGCUGUUUGAAAUAAAUACAACGAUAUGUAUGACUUAAUAUAAAUAUUUCACAUAUUAUACAAGUUUUAUCGGCUUAAAAUAUUGCGGGCGACGUCUACCUUUUCAUUUUCGGCCCUGCAAUAUGGCCAACUUCUAUCUCGAAUAUUAUGAUCAUAUGACAAAAUGAUAUAUGUCAAUCUAACGAGUCAGAAGCUAGCUAUAUCGCAGGGCCGAAAAUAAAAAGGUAGUCGUAUUCGUUUUAAACAGCGCUACAACUUUUAUUGUGUCGAAAUAUCCACAUUGUUAUAAAAAAAUUAUGCAUAUUUCUUCGUUCAUUAGCACAGAUAGCUUUUAUAAGCAAAUACUAUGCUCACAAUAGAGUUCAGUUUGAACCAUUUAAUUUGACAUAUAUAUUUGUUAUGGUCUAUCUCUUUUAAUUCAAAAAAUUAAAUGGGGUGGCCACUUUGAGUGGGACAUCCUGUAUAUU